rnacentral:rRNA from 1 species
AUUGAACGCUGGCGGCAGGCCUAACACAUGCAAGUCGAGCGGAGCGGCGGACGGGUGAGUAAUGCCUAGGAAUCUGCCUGGUAGUGGGGGAUAACGUCCGGAAACGGGCGCUAAUACCGCAUACUCUUAGAAGAGCCUGGGUCGGUAUGGUUAGUUGGGGGGGUAAGGGCCUACCCGGGCGACGAUCCGUAACUGGUCUGAGAGGAGGAUCAGUCACACUGUAACGGAGACACGGUCCAGACUCCUACGGGAGGCAGCAGUGGGGAAUAUUGGACAAUGGGCGAAAGCCUGAUCCAGCCAUGCCGCGUGUGUGAAGAAGGUCUUCGGAUUGUAAAGCACUUUAAGUUGGGAGGCGUUACCAACAGAAUAAGCACCGGCUAACUUCGUGCCAGCCGCCGCGGUAAUUC